rnacentral:rRNA from 1 species
CAGCGGUCAUAGGGGAAAGGAAACACCCGUUCCCAUUCCGAACACGGAAGUUAAGCUUUCCUACGACUGUACGAGUACUGAACUGAUGUUCGGGAA